CGUUGAAACACUGGUUCUCGUACAAUCACUGAAGUUAAGCAACAUCAAGACUGGUCAGUACCUAAAUGGGUGACCGUUUGGAAAUACCAGGUGUUGUAA
rnacentral:rRNA from 1 species